rnacentral:rRNA from 1 species
GUAGUCUCGCACAGAUGCAUAUCAAUAAGCGGAGGAAAAGAAACUAACGAGGAUUCCCCUAGUAACGGCGAGUGAAGCGGGAAGAGCUCAAAUUUGAAAUCUUAAAGGGUUUCCCUUUACGAAUAGUAGUUUAAAGAAGUGUUUUCUGUUGAGGUUUUGGUAAAAGUUCUUUGGAAUAGGACAUCAUAGAGGGUGAGAAUCCCGUAUUUGACCUUUACUUUCAACUUUGUGAUACACUUUCAAAGAGUCGGAUUGUUUGGGAAUGCAGUCCAAAAUGGGUGGUAAAUUUCAUCUAAAGCUAAAUAUUGGCGAGAGACCGAUAGCGAACAAGUACCGUGAGGGAAAGAUGAAAAGAACUUUGAAAAGAGAGUUAAACAGUACGUGAAAUUGUCAAAAGGGAAGCGUUUGACACCAGUGCUGUUUUUCUGAAAAUCAAUUAAAGAACUGUUUAUGCUAAGUUGUUUAGACUUUAUCAGCUAACUGUUUAGUUUUGAGCUUUUCUUUAAUGCACUUUUCAGUUAACAAGUCAACAUCAAUUUCUUUUGCUGUAAAAAAGCUUGAGGAAGGUGGCUUGAGAUUCGUCUUAAGUGUUUAUAGCCUCUUGCCUAUGCAGUCGGAGAGAUUGAGGUCUGCAGCGUAGAUCCUUCGGGGCUAAAUGCAUUUGUGCUAAGUUAUAGCAUUUCAUAGACAACUUGUUGACUAUGAUUUGUCUUGUAGCUUACUCGCUUAUGUUAUUUUACCUACGCUUAGGAUGUUGACAGCAGUAUAGACUGUAGUCUCGCACAGAUGCAUAUCAAUAAGCGGAGGAAAAGAGGGCUAUUACCUACGCUUAGGAUGUUGACAGCAGUAUAGACUGU